rnacentral:rRNA from 1 species
UGGUAUUCAUUAGUCCAAACUAUAAACACUGAAGUAGUAAACAGUUAUUUUCUCGAAACUUAAAGGAUUUGGCGGUGUUUUAGUCAAGUUAGAGGAACCUGCCCUGUAAUCGAUGCGCCACGAAAUAUCUUACUUCAUCUGGUAAAGUAAUCAGUUUGUAUACCACCAUUAUCAGAUACUCUUAAUAAGGAUGUGUUUUAAUAGUAAAGUAGCUAGAAAAUUAGGUCAAGGUGCAGCUGAUGGUGAAGGUUGAGGUGGGUUACAAUUUUCCUGAAAAAACGGAUUUCGGCCUUAAAAAGCCUUAUGAAGGCGGAUUUAAUUGUAAUAUUUGUUUAAUAUGCAAGUAUGAUAGUUGCUCUAAAACAUGUA